AGAGUUUGAUCCUGGCUCAGGAUGAACGCUGGCGGCGUGCCUAAUACAUGCAAGUAGAACGCUGAAGGAAGGAGCUUGCUCUUUCCGGAUGAGUUGCGAACGGGUGAGUAACGCGUAGGUAACCUGCCUGGUAGCGGGGGAUAACUAUUGGAAACGAUAGCUAAUACCGCAUAACAACAGUUGUUGCAUGACAGCUGUUUAAAAGGUGCAAAUGCACCACUACCAGAUGGACCUGCGUUGUAUUAGCUAGUUGGUGAGGUAACGGCUCACCAAGGCGACGAUACAUAGCCGACCUGAGAGGGUGAUCGGCCACACUGGGACUGAGACACGGCCCAGACUCCUACGGGAGGCAGCAGUAGGGAAUCUUCGGCAAUGGACGGAAGUCUGACCGAGCAACGCCGCGUGAGUGAAGAAGGUUUUCGGAUCGUAAAGCUUUGUUGUAAGAGAAGAACGAGUGUGAGAGUGGAAAGUUCACACUGUGACGGUAUCUUACCAGAAAGGGACGGCUAACUACGUGCCAGCAGCCGCGGU
rnacentral:rRNA from 1 species